AGAGGAGCUUGCUCUUCUUGGAUGAGUUGCGAACGGGUGAGUAACGCGUAGGUAACCUGCCUUGUAGCGGGGGAUAACUAUUGGAAACGAUAGCUAAUACCGCAUAACAAUGGAUGACACAUGUCAUUUAUUUGAAAGGGGCAAUUGCUCCACUACAAGAUGGACCUGCGUUGUAUUAGCUAGUAGGUGAGGUAAUGGCUCACCUAGGCGACGAUACAUAGCCGACCUGAGAGGGUGAUCGGCCACACUGGGACUGAGACACGGCCCAGACUCCUACGGGAGGCAGCAGUAGGGAAUCUUCGGCAAUGGGGGCAACCCUGACCGAGCAACGCCGCGUGAGUGAAGAAGGUUUUCGGAUCGUAAAGCUCUGUUGUAAGUCAAGAACGGGUGUGAGAGUGGAAAGUUCACACUGUGACGGUAGCUUACCAGAAAGGGACGGCUAACUACGUGCCAGCAGCCGCGGUAAUACGUAGGUCCCGAGCGUUGUCCGGAUUUAUUGGGCGUAAAGCGAGCGCAGGCGGUUUGAUAAGUCUGAAGUUAAAGGCUGUGGCUCAACCAUAGUUCGCUUUGGAAACUGUCAAACUUGAGUGCAGAAGGGGAGAGUGGAAUUCCAUGUGUAGCGGUGAAAUGCGUAGAUAUAUGGAGGAACACCGGUGGCGAAAGCGGCUCUCUGGUCUGUAACUGACGCUGAGGCUCGAAAGCGUGGGGAGCGAACAGGAUUAGAUACCCUGGUAGUCCACGCCGUAAACGAUGAGUGCUAGGUGUUGGAUCCUUUCCGGGAUUCAGUGCCGCAGCUAACGCAUUAAGCACUCCGCCUGGGGAGUACGACCGCAAGGUUGAAACUCAAAGGAAUUGACGGGGGCCCGCACAAGCGGUGGAGCAUGUGGUUUAAUUCGAAGCAACGCGAAGAACCUUACCAGGUCUUGACAUCCCGAUGCUAUUUCUAGAGAUAGAAAGUUACUUCGGUACAUCGGUGACAGGUGGUGCAUGGUUGUCGUCAGCUCGUGUCGUGAGAUGUUGGGUUAAGUCCCGCAACGAGCGCAACCCCUAUUGUUAGUUGCCAUCAUUCAGUUGGGCACUCUAGCGAGACUGCCGGUAAUAAACCGGAGGAAGGUGGGGAUGACGUCAAAUCAUCAUGCCCCUUAUGACCUGGGCUACACACGUGCUACAAUGGUUGGUACAACGAGUUGCGAGUCGGUGACGGCGAGCUAAUCUCUUAAAGCCAAUCUCAGUUCGGAUUGUAGGCUGCAACUCGCCUACAUGAAGUCGGAAUCGCUAGUAAUCGCGGAUCAGCACGCCGCGGUGAAUACGUUCCCGGGCCUUGUACACACCGCCCGUCACACCACGAGAGUUUGUAACACCCGAAGUCGGUGAGGUAAC
rnacentral:rRNA from 1 species